rnacentral:tRNA from 1 species
GGAGAGGUGGCCGAGUGGCUUAAGGCGUAUGCUUGGAAAGCAUAUUUAUGAGAAAUUGUAACGGGGGUUCGAAUCCCUUUCUCUCCGCAA